rnacentral:rRNA from 1 species
GCUCAUCACAUCCUGGGGCUGAAGUAGGUCCCAAGGGUAUGGCUGUUCGCCAUUUAAAGUGGUACGCGAGCUGGGUUUAGAACGUCGUGAGACAGUUCGGUCCCUAUCUGCCGUGGGCGCUGGAGAAUUGAGGGGGGCUGCUCCUAGUACGAGAGGACCGGAGUGGACGCAUCACUGGUGUUCGGGUUGUCAUGCCAAUGGCACUGCCCGGUAGCUAAAUGCGGAAGAGAUAAGUGCUGAAAGCAUNUAAGCACG